rnacentral:rRNA from 1 species
GGGUUGUGAGGUUAAGCGACUAAGCGUACACGGUGGAUGCCCUGGCAGUCAGAGGCGAUGAAGGACGUGCUAAUCUGCGAUAAGCGUCGGUGAGGUGAUAUGAACCGUUAUAACCGGCGAUUUCCGAAUGGGGAAACCCAGUGUGUUUCGACACACUAUCAUUAACUGAAUCCAUAGGUUAAUGAGGCGAACCGGGGGAACUGAAACAUCUAAGUACCCCGAGGAAAAGAAAUCAACCGAGAUUCCCCCAGUAGCGGCGAGCGAACGGGGAGGAGCCCAGAGCCUGAAUCAGUGUGUGUGUUAGUGGAAGCGUCUGGAAAGGCGCGCGAUACAGGGUGACAGCCCCGUACACAAAAAUGCACAUAUUGUGAGCUCGAUGAGUAGGGCGGGACACGUGGUAUCCUGUCUGAAUAUGGGGGGACCAUCCUCCAAGGCUAAAUACUCCUGACUGACCGAUAGUGAACCAGUACCGUGAGGGAAAGGCGAAAAGAACCCCGGCGAGGGGAGUGAAAAAGAACCUGAAACCGUGUACGUACAAGCAGUGGGAGCCUCUUUAUGGGGUGACUGCGUACCUUUUGUAUAAUGGGUCAGCGACUUAUAUUCUGUAGCAAGGUUAACCGAAUAGGGGAGCCGAAGGGAAACCGAGUCUUAACUGGGCGUUAAGUUGCAGGGUAUAGACCCGAAACCCGGUGAUCUAGCCAUGGGCAGGUUGAAGGUUGGGUAACACUAACUGGAGGACCGAACCGACUAAUGUUGAAAAAUUAGCGGAUGACUUGUGGCUGGGGGUGAAAGGCCAAUCAAACCGGGAGAUAGCUGGUUCUCCCCGAAAGCUAUUUAGGUAGCGCCUCGUGAAUUCAUCUCCGGGGGUAGAGCACUGUUUCGGCAAGGGGGUCAUCCCGACUUACCAACCCGAUGCAAACUGCGAAUACCGGAGAAUGUUAUCACGGGAGACACACGGCGGGUGCUAACGUCCGUCGUGAAGAGGGAAACAACCCAGACCGCCAGCUAAGGUCCCAAAGUCAUGGUUAAGUGGGAAACGAUGUGGGAAGGCCCAGACAGCCAGGAUGUUGGCUUAGAAGCAGCCAUCAUUUAAAGAAAGCGUAAUAGCUCACUGGUCGAGUCGGCCUGCGCGGAAGAUGUAACGGGGCUAAACCAUGCACCGAAGCUGCGGCAGCGACACUAUGUGUUGUUGGGUAGGGGAGCGUUCUGUAAGCCUGUGAAGGUGGCCUGUGAGGGUUGCUGGAGGUAUCAGAAGUGCGAAUGCUGACAUAAGUAACGAUAAAGCGGGUGAAAAGCCCGCUCGCCGGAAGACCAAGGGUUCCUGUCCAACGUUAAUCGGGGCAGGGUGAGUCGACCCCUAAGGCGAGGCCGAAAGGCGUAGUCGAUGGGAAACAGGUUAAUAUUCCUGUACUUGGUGUUACUGCGAAGGGGGGACGGAGAAGGCUAUGUUGGCCGGGCGACGGUUGUCCCGGUUUAAGCGUGUAGGCUGGUUUUCCAGGCAAAUCCGGAAAACCAAGGCUGAGGCGUGAUGACGAGGCACUACGGUGCUGAAGCGACAAAUGCCCUGCUUCCAGGAAAAGCCUCUAAGCAUCAGGUAACAUCAAAUCGUACCCCAAACCGACACAGGUGGUCAGGUAGAGAAUACCAAGGCGCUUGAGAGAACUCGGGUGAAGGAACUAGGCAAAAUGGUGCCGUAACUUCGGGAGAAGGCACGCUGAUAUGUAGGUGAAGCGACUUGCUCGUGGAGCUGAAAUCAGUCGAAGAUACCAGCUGGCUGCAACUGUUUAUUAAAAACACAGCACUGUGCAAACACGAAAGUGGACGUAUACGGUGUGACGCCUGCCCGGUGCCGGAAGGUUAAUUGAUGGGGUUAGCGGUAACGCGAAGCUCUUGAUCGAAGCCCCGGUAAACGGCGGCCGUAACUAUAACGGUCCUAAGGUAGCGAAAUUCCUUGUCGGGUAAGUUCCGACCUGCACGAAUGGCGUAAUGAUGGCCAGGCUGUCUCCACCCGAGACUCAGUGAAAUUGAACUCGCUGUGAAGAUGCAGUGUACCCGCGGCAAGACGGAAAGACCCCGUGAACCUUUACUAUAGCUUGACACUGAACAUUGAGCCUUGAUGUGUAGGAUAGGUGGGAGGCUUUGAAGUGUGGACGCCAGUCUGCAUGGAGCCGACCUUGAAAUACCACCCUUUAAUGUUUGAUGUUCUAACGUUGGCCCGUAAUCCGGGUUGCGGACAGUGUCUGGUGGGUAGUUUGACUGGGGCGGUCUCCUCCUAAAGAGUAACGGAGGAGCACGAAGGUUGGCUAAUCCUGGUCGGACAUCAGGAGGUUAGUGCAAUGGCAUAAGCCAGCUUGACUGCGAGCGUGACGGCGCGAGCAGGUGCGAAAGCAGGUCAUAGUGAUCCGGUGGUUCUGAAUGGAAGGGCCAUCGCUCAACGGAUAAAAGGUACUCCGGGGAUAACAGGCUGAUACCGCCCAAGAGUUCAUAUCGACGGCGGUGUUUGGCACCUCGAUGUCGGCUCAUCACAUCCUGGGGCUGAAGUAGGUCCCAAGGGUAUGGCUGUUCGCCAUUUAAAGUGGUACGCGAGCUGGGUUUAGAACGUCGUGAGACAGUUCGGUCCCUAUCUGCCGUGGGCGCUGGAGAACUGAGGGGGGCUGCUCCUAGUACGAGAGGACCGGAGUGGACGCAUCACUGGUGUUCGGGUUGUCAUGCCAAUGGCACUGCCCGGUAGCUAAAUGCGGAAGAGAUAAGUGCUGAAAGCAUCUAAGCACGAAACUUGCCCCGAGAUGAGUUCUCCCUGACUCCUUGAGAGUCCUGAAGGAACGUUGAAGACGACGACGUUGAUAGGCCGGGUGUGUAAGCGCAGCGAUGCGUUGAGCUAACCGGUACUAAUGAACCGUGAGG